UGAAUACUGAGUAUGACUUCAUUCAGAAGUGGUUCCUGUGGCCAUCCUAAGCUUGAAAGUGUUCUGAUAGGAAUAUGAGGCUGGAAUGAACCUACAUCAUCUAGAAUACUACAGCACUCACCUGAGACAACAUUGCUACCUCUCAUUAAAUAACAGGGAUGGAAAAUUACCUGCUUUCUACAAAGCUAAAUGGAAUUUGGGAUUGUGGUUUCUUAUGGGUACAGGCUGGUGGCACCACUCAAGCAUUAAAAGCAGCAGCUUGGCUUCUCCAGCCCCGCAGGAGAUGGUGAGGGCAUCAGCCCUUCCAGACAGGGGCAGUUCCAGCCCUUGCCCGGCAAACAGCAACUGUGGGUGCUCGUGCUGUGCCUCAUCCUAGGGGACAGCGAAGGAAGAAUUAAAAGCAGCGUCACUGAUGGCUUCCAAGGGUACAGCAGAGGGAACCGCCUGCCUCAGCCCUCUCCGAGGGUGAAGAACCUGUGCUGGAAGGCCCUUGCAAAUGAGCUGUGGAGCACUGUCAGGUUAUGGACGUGCCACACGUGAUGGUAAUGGCCAUCAAACAGUAAAACGUAACGUCAUUUCAACUCCCUUCUCCAUGAAAGGGAUUUGCCAUUUAAGGAUAGGAAGAACCAGCAUCUGAAACUGCAUUUGAGGGCAGCUUUUCUUAUCUUCCCUUCUUCCUGAAUUUCAUGGGGAGAUGCCUAAUUUUAAAAUAAACUAGUUUAUUUUUUUUCUAACUGGCAAAAUCAACACCAAGCAGAAAGUGUAUUCCUUAGAAAUAAAUACAUCAUAAAAUUA